UACGUAGGGGGCUAGCGUUGUCCGGAACCAUUGGGCGGUAAAGAGCGUGUAGGCGGCUCGGUAAGUCCGCUGUAAAAGUCAAAGGCUCAACCUUUGAAUGUCAGUGGAUACUGCCGGGCUAGAGUCCGGAAGAGGCGAGUGGAACUCCUGGUGUAGCGGUGGAAUGCGCAGAUAUCAGGAAGAACACCAACGGCGAAGGCAGCUCGCUGGGACGGUACUGACGCUGGAGACGCGAAAGCGUGGGGGAGCGAACAGG
rnacentral:rRNA from 1 species